rnacentral:rRNA from 1 species
CCUACGGGAGGCAGCAGUGGGGGAUAUUGCACAAUGGGGGAAACCCUGAUGCAGCGACGCCGCGUGGGUGAAGAAGCGCCUCGGCGCGUAAAGCCCUGUCAGCAGGGAAGAAAAUGACGGUACCUGAAGAAGAAGCCCCGGCUAACUACGUGCCAGCAGCCGCGGUAAUACGUAGGGGGCAAGCGUUAGCCGGAUUUACUGGGUGUAAAGGGGGCGCAGACGGCGAUGCAAGCCAGGAGUGAAAGCCCGGGGCCCAACCCCGGGACUGCUCUUGGAACUGCGUGGCUAGAGUGCAGGAGGGGCAGGCGGAAUUCCUGGUGUAGCGGUGAAAUGCGUAGAUAGCAGGAGGAACACCGGUGGCGAAGGCGGCCUGCUGGACUGCAACUGACGUUGAGGCCCGAAAGCGUGGGGAGCAAACAGGAUUAGAUACCCCAGUAGUC